rnacentral:tRNA from 1 species
GCCGAAGUGGCGGAACUGGCAGACGCGCGGGACUCAAAAUCCCGUUCCCCUCACCGGGAGUGUGGGUUCGACCCCCAUCUUCGGCACCA